CAAUUUCUAAUAUUGUGUAAUACUAAAGUAAUAUCAUCUGUAGUAUGCAGAAAGAUUUCAAGUUUUGAAUAAUCUGAGAACCUAGAGAUUUCCUAAUACAGUUUGUACAAAGGAUUGCCCUUCCUGGAAAAGCUGUAGCUUGAAUACAGAUAAUAAAGUCAUCUGGAGAACAUCACCUGUCAUCAGCCAUUAAGAGAUGGGAUCGUGAUGGGAUGCUGUAGAUAAUCAGAAGAAAUAAGUUUUCAAGCGAUGCCAAAAAGAUGCCAAAAGCAAAAGGAUUUCAGCAGCUCCCUGCAACUGAUCAAGGAAAUAACUGGCUCAUAAUGUAUCUUGUAGAUUCAGAUUCUCACUAAGUGAAAGUACAGACUGAAGCAUGUCACCUGUAGCCUGCUGUGACUUCCUUUCAAGUUUUCUUUCUGUACUCAGCGGCUGGAAAUGAUUCCCUCAAGCUUUUACACCAGUCACUGAAUCUGAGCAAUGCUGAGCCCGCAGAAGGAUUUGUUCAAGGUAAGACUGGAACACUAAAUCACCUAAUUGAUUUCAUGCUUAUCACAUCCCCUUGAAUAUAGGGAACAUUUCUUGCUGCAGAGAUGAUGAAUUCACUCUAAUAAAGCAUUAUGUUCUGCAGUUUUUCAGAAAGUCAGGAUGAGCAACAGGAAGAUCUGAUAAGUUUGCCCCUUUUCUGGGAGAUUGCUUGUAAGUGUAGUUACACCUGACUCACAUGAUUGUGUGUGCAUCAUUUGAUGGCCUUUUAUUCUUUCCUGAAAAAAAUGUAAAUGAGAACUGCAUAGGACACAGUCCCUUAAUAAACCAAAGAAAUUAAAGAACAUAGCAUGCCUUCAAAAAGGAAUUCCUCAGCCCCUAAAGUAAUUUGAGAAACUGGAUGAGGUAAAUAAGAGAUUCACAGCAUUUUUGAAGUCCUGAUACUUCUGCAUUUCAUAUUGUUACAGAGUAAGUCUGACAUGGUUUUUGAGAAUAUAGCAAUAUUUCCUGUUCUUCAUCAUUCUGUUUAGCAAACAGUCUAACUUCUUGCUACCCCACUUUUAAGUUCCUUGUUCAUGCUAACACUCAGCUGACUGAAAAAAAAAGCUCUAUUUCUAGUAUAGGAGGAGAAGAAAACACAAGGCAAGGGCAAAAGGAAGGUGGGAGGAGAAACAAACUGAGCUGUUUGUUGUUGGGAUGGUAAGAGCUCCAAAGUAAGUAUGUAAUACAGAGGUGAAAGGCAGAAAAACAAAAGAAACUGUAGGAGGUACAUGGCAGAAGAGAAACAAAUGGAAGAAAAGUGGAGGGGAAAAGUGUAUAAACUGAAAACCAGAAAGAAAAUACUGUAAAAAUGCUCUAAUUGGAAGACGUUUCUGUAGGAGCUGGGCCUGUCAAAGAGGGACAGAAAGACAGGAUCAGACUGGGUCAUGAAAAUGUAAACAGCUUUGCUGGAAUUGAAGUGCAAAUGCUGCUUGCAUAGGUCUUAUCAUCCAAUGUAACAUUCUGCCUUGAAGGCAAAUGAAGUGUGGUCUAAACACCAUGGGUGUUCCUCCUCAUUGUCUGCUCACACAGCCCUUCUGUGCUUCUCACAGUCCCAAGCUGGCCUCAUUGCCUGGAUUCUUACUUAGCUACAUGGCGCAUCACAGUUUUUAAACAUGCACUUCUGGUGUUUCAGGCACAUGAUGUGUUUCACUAUAGUUCCUCCUCACAAUGUGGGUUAAACAGCAAGGCAUAUACUAGUUGCUCCCAUAAGGUCUUUUCGGCAUUUGCAAGGCUUUGCUUUUUUUAUUUUUUAUUUUCAUCACAGCUGAAUGCACAAUGCAAAGCAAUUGCUGUUCAAGUAAAAUAUAUUUCUGUACCUUGAAAAUAAAUAAUUUUGUCACAGUCCUGGAGGACAGUGCAUCCCACAUUACAUGUUGGUAGGUGAUCCUGAAUAUCUGAUUAUUAAGUUGUACAUCUCUAUGAGUAGCAUGUUGUAUAUAUUACAUACAAAUUGACUACAGCAUGGACAUUCUUCUGUUUUCUAGGACACAAAAGUAGGAAUGUUCCUCAGCUAACACAAUAUGUAAAAAGUACCGCUGUUCUAAUACAUUCAUGUUUUCAAACCCACCACAUUACAGAAUAGCACAGAUUGCCAAUAUAUUGUAUAACCACAGAUUGACUGAUAUAGCAGUGCCCCAAGUAAGACACAUCAUCUGUAAAGAGAAGAUUAAUGAGAUUAAGCCAUUUCUUCCCUAUUAAUACUUCUACAGAAAAGCUUAUUCUUUACUAUCUGAUAGUCUUCUGUAUUUGUGAUACCAAGUUCACUGCUAAUGUUCCCAUUGCUGCUAGCACUGAAUGAUCACAAUGAGUUCUUAGUUUGCUUGUUCAUGUGUUUUAUACCAUGUUCAUGCUGGUUUGGUAGGGUCUGGGUUCCUAGCAUCUUGCUCAAUUGUCAGAGGAGCGUACCUGCAAUACUAUUUUGAGUGGUUGCUUAUUUAUAUCUUCAAGACUGUUAACCCAACUGAUGCUUACAGCCAAGUUCUACAUCAUUCCUUGACUAUAAUGUUACCGAGUUUACCAAUUAAAAUUUAAGCCUGAUUAUAUUGUACUUGUCUUC